rnacentral:rRNA from 1 species
GGAAGGGAUAAGUGCUGAAAGCAUCUAAGCAUGAAGCCCCCCUCAAGAUGAGAUUUCCCAUAGCGUAAGCUAGUAAGAUCCCUGAAAGAUGAUCAGGUUGAUAGGUUCGAGGUGGAAGCAUGGUGACAUGUGGAGCUGACGAAUACUAAUAGAUCGAGGACUUAACCA